GAAAUGUUUUGUUAGCCAUCAGGCAAACUGAAAAUAGAUUUAGAAAGUAUUUAAAACACAUAGAAGGACUGAGACCAAUAGCCAUGUUGAAGAGGAGACGAUGGUUCUCCCAUCACCUUCAUUACUCCACCUGCUGCUCAUGAAGGUUGCUGGGAUGUGCUGAUUAACUUGUGUUUUGGUCGAAAUCUGAAGUGAUGCUGAAUCUUCGUCCUUUAAUGUUGUCUGUUUCAUUGUUGCGCAAUUUUGUCAUGCAUCGUGUGAACUUUUAUGCUUAUGGUGUGUAUCAUCACAGCACUGGACAAUAAUGACUCACACAGUAGAAUAACAUAACUGUAUACUUGCAUCAAGGGUAGUUAAAACAUGGUAAGCUUUUCUCAUGU
rnacentral:lncRNA from 1 species